CUUAUGUCCCCAUAAAUCCUUGCCUGUGCCUCUGAUUUAUGGGUCUGGCCUCGUUUCUACCCUUGUCAGGUCCAAGAACCCGGCUCUGGUAACAAAACGAGGGGCUGAGAGCCUGAUGAUGCUCCACCUGGGGAAGAGAAAGCACGGGAUUGCUUCCUGACUUUGUUCAGAUCCCUGCUCAGACGUAAGCUCUGAGUGUAGAGAAGCCAAGAGGAGCCCAAAGCUUCAGGAAAACACUAACCCUCCCAGAAGCCUAGUAGAAGCCUUGUUUCCAGGGACAGUUGGCCAAGACAUAACAAGCUGGGGGCCAGGAGCACGCUCUGAAAGGCAUGGCUGAGACCUGUUAGAAUAAGCUUCAUGCCCUCGUCUGUCCUGCUCGCCCAGGCCAUGGUGAGAGAACACUCUGUACGGGGAGACAGUGGCUUCUGUGUGUGGGUUUAGCUUGCCAGGGA
rnacentral:lncRNA from 12 species